GAACGGGUGAGUAACACGUGGGUGAUCUGCCCUGCACUUUGGGAUAAGCCUGGGAAACUGGGUCUAAUACCGAAUAGGACCACGCGCUUCAUGGUGUGUGGUGGAAAGCUUUUGCGGUGUGGGAUGGGCCCGCGGCCUAUCAGCUUGUUGGUGGGGUAAUGGCCUACCAAGGCGACGACGGGUAGCCGGCCUGAGAGGGUGACCGGCCACACUGGGACUGAGAUACGGCCCAGACUCCUACGGGAGGCAGCAGUGGGGAAUAUUGCACAAUGGGCGCAAGCCUGAUGCAGCGACGCCGCGUGAGGGAUGACGGCCUUCGGGUUGUAAACCUCUUUCAAUAGGGACGAAGCGCAAGUGACGGUACCUAUAGAAGAAGCACCGGCCAACUACGUGCCAGCAGCCGCGGUAAUACGUAGGGUGCGAGCGUUGUCCGGAAUUACUGGGCGUAAAGAGCUCGUAGGUGGUUUGUCGCGUUGUUCGUGAAAACUCACAGCUUAACUGUGGGCGUGCGGGCGAUACGGGCAGACUAGAGUACUGCAGGGGAGACUGGAAUUCCUGGUGUAGCGGUGGAAUGCGCAGAUAUCAGGAGGAACACCGGUGGCGAAGGCGGGUCUCUGGGCAGUAACUGACGCUGAGGAGCGAAAGCGUGGGGAGCGAACAGGAUUAGAUACCCUGGUAGUCCACGCUGUAAACGGUGGGUACUAGGUGUGGGUUCCUUCCUUGGGAUCCGUGCCGUAGCUAACGCAUUAAGUACCCCGCCUGGGGAGUACGGCCGCAAGGCUAAAACUCAAAGGAAUUGACGGGGG
rnacentral:rRNA from 1 species